GACGAACGCUGGCGGCGUGCCUAAUACAUGCAAGUCGAACGCUGAAGAGAGGAGCUUGCUCUUCUUGGAUGAGUUGCGAACGGGUGAGUAACGCGUAGGUAACCUGCCUGGUAGCGGGGGAUAACUAUUGGAAACGAUAGCUAAUACCGCAUAAAAUUGAUUAUUGCAUGAUACUUAAUUGAAAGAUGCAACUGCAUCACUACCAGAUGGACCUGCGUUGUAUUAGCUAGUUGGUGAGGUAACGGCUCACCAAGGCGACGAUACAUAGCCGACCUGAGAGGGUGAUCGGCCACACUGGGACUGAGACACGGCCCAGACUCCUACGGGAGGCAGCAGUAGGGAAUCUUCGGCAAUGGGGGGAACCCUGACCGAGCAACGCCGCGUGAGUGAAGAAGGUUUUCGGAUCGUAAAGCUCUGUUGUAAGAGAAGAACGGGUGUGAGAGUGGAAAGUUCACACUGUGACGGUAGCUUACCAGAAAGGGACGGCUAACUACGUG
rnacentral:rRNA from 1 species